AGAGUUUGAUCCUGGCUCAGAAUGAACGUUGGCGGCGUGGAUUAGGCAUGCAAGUCGAGCGAGAACCCGCAAGGGGGACAGCGGCAAACGGGGUAGUAACGGGUAGGCAACGUACCCUCGGGACGGGGAUAGCCACGGGAAACUGUGGGUAAUACCCGAUAAUCUCCUCUUUCUUUAUGAGAGGGGAGCAAAGGUGAGAUUCCACCUGAGGAGCGGCCUGCUUCGUAUUAGCUAGUUGGUGAGGUAACGGCUCACCAAGGCUUCGAUGCGUAGGGGGUGUGAGAGCAUGACCCCCACCACUGGGACUGAGAUACUGCCCAGACACCUACGGGUGGCUGCAGUCGAGAAUCUUCGGCAAUGGGCGAAAGCCUGACCGAGCGACGCCGCGUGUGGGAUGAAGGCCCUUGGGUUGUAAACCACUGUCAGAGGGGAUGAAGUGCAUGUGAGUUAUCUCAUGUGUUUGACAUAGCCUCAGAGGAAGCACGGGCUAAGUUCGUGCCAGCAGCCGCGGUAAUACGAACUGUGCAAACGUUAUUCGGAAUCACUGGGCUUACAGGGUGCGUAGGCGGCUUGUUAAGCAGGGUGUGAAAUCCCUCGGCUCAACCGAGGAAUUGCGCCCUGAACUGGCGAGCUGGAGUGGGACAGA
rnacentral:rRNA from 1 species